UGUGUGCUGCAGACAGGGAUGGGAUAG
rnacentral:piRNA from 1 species